rnacentral:rRNA from 1 species
GAUGAACGCUGACAGAAUGCUUAACACAUGCAAGUCAUUGGCGAAGCUGCGCUUGCGCAGUCUAGCCAAGGCGGCCGGGUGAGUAACGCGUAAGGAACUUGCCCUGCAGACAGGGAUAACAGACGGAAACGACUGAUAACACCUGGUAUUGUCAGGCUGGCGCAUGCCGGCCUGAUGAAAGGAGACGCUGCAGGAGAGCCUUGCGUCCUAUUAGCUAGUUGGUGGGGUAACGGCCCACUAAGGCGAUGAUAGGUAGCCGGCCUGAGGGGGUGAACGGCCACAAGGAGACUGAGAUGCGGCCCUUACUCCUACGGGAGACAGGAGUGGGGAAUAUUGGACGAGGGGGGCAACCCUGAUCCAGAAGUUCUGUGUGCAAGAAGAAGGUUUUCGGAGUGUAAAGUGCUUGCAGCAGGGAAGAAGAAAGUGACGGUACCUGCAGAAGAAGCGACGGCUAAAUACGUG